rnacentral:tRNA from 1 species
GGUUUUAUAGUUUAAAAAAUAUUAAAUUGCAAAUUUAAAGAUGAAUGAAUUUUCUAAGACUU